UGGCCUUCUGACAAGUUCGUUUAACUUAUCAUUGAAGCAAUGACAACACAAAGCCAGCGGAGAGAGACUCCCAACGUCGAUCUAUUUGUCAAAACCGACUUAUUCGGGAUAAUGCGUGCAUCGCGGGUUAAAAAAGCCAGUUUCAGCAAGUGCCCGUACUGGCUCCAUUGAUUCAUCAUGACAGCUACAUCCCAGCUGAAGAAUACACGCGUGCCAGGACUACCGUCCUUAGCACUCCUAGCGCAUUCUCUUAAAGAUGCUUCCCGUCACAUCAACUGGGCGAAGAGCUCAAUGAAGAUGGCAAACUUCAUUUGUAGCAGGGCGAAGCACCUUUACACUAUCGUCGUGAUCCACGAGCAUAUCCUGAUGUGAACCUUCCCAACAGGCCGUAGCGUCCCCGAAGGCCCGUACACGGUCACAUACACAGCUGCUUAAAACAUUGAGCCGAUACGCAGAGUCGGAAUGGAUUUGCAUUUCUUGGUACUCGAAAUUAUACUCAAAUGGACCUUUCUCAACCAUCAAAAUCAGGCACUUGUGCUCGUCGGCCGGAGUUUUUUGGGGGGGGGGGGGGUGAUCUUGCGACGAGAAAUCGGCAGGCACUCGCCGCUGCCCCGAGCUAACGAUGAAUCGACAACUUGUCAAUCAGCUACAAAACGAAUUGAUCGAAACACAGAGACGGCAAAACCGACGCGACGUGUCUCCUGUUCCCGGCAAGCUGUAGCUGUGAGAGAAAUGAGGAAAGAAGUUCAGGUACGAACUCUGCUAAAAGCCAGACUGCCCAGAAGAAGGCUUCAGCCUAAGGAUGGAGACCGAAGUAGUGAUGGACAGAGGCAGCUCGAAAAUACGCGCACGAUUUCAUUCGCUAGCGUUAACAGCGCGCCUCGGCUUGGCGUUUCGAGCAAAGAGUCUUCGUCAGAAAGCGAUGAGGAGCCGUCUUUCGUAACGUUCAAUAUUCAGCCGUUGCUUAUGCGAAAACAAAAGCGACGAAGCUGAUCGAGGACGUCAGCUGAGCGAUCAAGCACUUCGAGCGACGAUUCAAAUGCAGCUCAUGCGUCAGCAUUUGAGUAGACGAUGACCACAAAAAAAGUUACACGUUUUUCUUGGAGAGG